CAGCCGCCGCGGUAAAACCAGCACCUCAAGUGGUCAGGAUGAUUAUUGGGCCUAAAGCAUCCGUAGCCUGCUUUGCCAGUUUUCGGUUAAAUCCAUACGCUCAACGUAUGGGCCGCCGGGAAUACUACAAAGCUAGGGAGUGGGAGAGGUAGACGGUACUCGGUAGGAAGGGGUAAAAUCCCUUGAUCUAUUGAUGACCACCUGUGGCGAAGGCGGUCUACCAGAACACAUCCGACGGUGAGGGAUGAAAGCUGGGGGAGCAAACCGGAUUAGAUACCCGGGUAGUCCCAGCUGUAAACUAUGCAAACUCAGUGAUGCAUUGGCUUGAUGCCAAUGCAGUGCUGCAGGGAAGCCGUUAAGUUUGCCGCCUGGGAAGUACGUACGCAAGUAUGAAACUUAAAGGAAUUGGCGGGGGAGCAC
rnacentral:rRNA from 2 species